AUUGAACGCUGGCGGCAUGCCUAACACAUGCAAGUCGAACGGGGCAGCAAUGCCUAGUGGCGGACGGGUGAGGAAUACGAAGGACUCUGCCCUUAAGUGGGGGAUAACCAGGGGAAACCCUGACUAAUACCGCAUGAUCUCUUCGGAGCAAAGAGGGGGACCGCAAGGCCUCUCGCUUCUGGAUGAGCCCACGUCUGAUUAGCUAGUUGGUAGGGUAAAGGCCUACCAAGGCGACGAUCAGGAACUGGACUGAGAGGAUGAUCAGUCCCACCGGAACUGAGACACGGUCCGGACUCCUACGGGAGGCAGCAGUGGGGAAGAUUGGACAAUGGGCGCAAGCCUGAACCAGCAAUGCCGCGGGUGUGAAGAAGGUCUUCGGAUUGUAAAGCACUUUAAGUCGGGAGGAAGGGCUGUAGGUUUAUACCUUGCAGCCUUGACGUUACCGACAGAAUAAGCACCGGCUAACUUCGUGCCAGCCGCCGCGGUAAGAC
rnacentral:rRNA from 1 species